rnacentral:rRNA from 1 species
AUUGAACGCUGGCGGCAGGCUUAACACAUGCAAGUCGAGCGGAGCGAGGGUGCUUGCACCUUAGCUUAGCGGCGGACGGGUGAGUAAUGCUUAGGAAUCUGCCUAUUAGUGGGGGACAACAUUCCGAAAGGAAUGCUAAUACCGCAUACGCCCUAAGGGGGAAAGCAGGGGAUCUUCGGACCUUGCGCUAAUAGAUGAGCCUAAGUCGGAUUAGCUAGUUGGUGGGGUAAAGGCCUACCAAGGCGACGAUCUGUAGCGGGUCUGAGAGGAUGAUCCGCCAAACUGGGACUGAGACACGGCCCAGACUCCUACGGGAGGCAGCAGUGGGGAAUAUUGGACAAUGGGCGGAAGCCUGAUCCAGCCAUGCCGCGUGUGCGAAGAAGGCCUUUUGGUUGUAAAGCACUUUAAGCGAGGAGGAGGCUACUUAGAUUAAUACUCUAGGAUAGUGGACGUUACUCGCAGAAUAAGCACCGGCUAACUCUGUGCCAGCCGCCGCCGUAAGAC